rnacentral:rRNA from 1 species
CACGUAGGCGGAUUGCUAAGUCAGGGGUGAAAUCCUGGAGCCCAACUCCAGAACUGCCUUUGAUACUGGCGAUCUCGAGUCCGGGAGAGGUGAGUGGAACUGCGAGUGUAGAGGUGAAAUUCGUAGAUAUUCGCAAGAACACCAGUGGCGAAGGCGGCUCACUGGCCCGGUACUGACGCUGAGGUGCGAAAGCGUGGGGAGCGAAACAGGAUUAGAUACCCUGGUAGUCCACGCCGUAAACGAUGGAUGCUAGCCGUUGGUGGGUUUACCCUUCAGUGGCGCAGCUAACGCAUUAAGCAUCCCGCCUGGGGAGUACGGUCGCAAGAUUAAA